rnacentral:misc_RNA from 1 species
CAACCAUCAAGCCCCAGGCUUGUGUUGGGGCCCUGCGGCUGCCGCAGGCCCUGAAAAACAGUGGCGGGCUCGCUGUCACACCGAGCGUAGUAAUACAUCUCGCUUUGGACGUGCGGCGGGUUCUUGCCGUUAAACACCCCCCUUCUCAA